rnacentral:rRNA from 1 species
CAGCCGCCACGGUAAUACGAAGGGGGCUAGCGUUGCUCGGAAUCACUGGGCGUAAAGGGUGCGUAGGCGGGUCUUUAAGUCAGGGGUGAAAUCCUGGAGCUCAACUCCAGAACUGCCUUUGAUACUGAAGAUCUUGAGUUCGGGAGAGGUGAGUGGAACUGCGAGUGUAGAGGUGAAAUUCGUAGAUAUUCGCAAGAACACCAGUGGCGAAGGCGGCUCACUGGCCCGAUACUGACGCUGAGGCACGAAAGCGUGGGGAGCAAACAGGAUUAGAUACCCCUGUAGUCCCUGUCUCUUAUAC